GAAAACUGGUCAGAGGCCAUCUGAAGCCAAAGAGAUAAAGCUGUAUGCCCAGAUUCCCCCGAUAGAGAAGAUGGACGCCUCCUUGUCCACACUUGCCAACUGCGAGAAGCUUUCACUGUCUACAAAUUGCAUUGAAAAAAUAGCAAACCUGAAUGGCCUAAAAAACUUGAGGAUAUUGUCUUUAGGAAGAAACAACAUAAAGAACUUAAAUGGACUGGUAG